GAGCGAACAGACGAGGAGCUUGCUCCUCUGACGUUAGCGGCGGACGGGUGAGUAACACGUGGAUAACCUACCUAUAAGACUGGGAUAACUUCGGGAAACCGGAGCUAAUACCGGAUAAUAUAUUGAACCGCAUGGUUCAAUAGUGAAAGACGGUUUUGCUGUCACUUAUAGAUGGAUCCGCGCCGCAUUAGCUAGUUGGUAAGGUAACGGCUUACCAAGGCAACGAUGCGUAGCCGACCUGAGAGGGUGAUCGGCCACACUGGAACUGAGACACGGUCCAGACUCCUACGGGAGGCAGCAGUAGGGAAUCUUCCGCAAUGGGCGAAAGCCUGACGGAGCAACGCCGCGUGAGUGAUGAAGGUCUUCGGAUCGUAAAACUCUGUUAUUAGGGAAGAACAAAUGUGUAAGUAACUAUGCACGUCUUGACGGUACCUAAUCAGAAAGCCACGGCUAACUACGUGCCAGCAGCCGCGGUAAUACGUAGGUGGCAAGCGUUAUCCGGAAUUAUUGGGCGUAAAGCGCGCGUAGGCGGUUUUUUAAGUCUGAUGUGAAAGCCCACGGCUCAACCGUGGAGGGUCAUUGGAAACUGGAAAACUUGAGUGCAGAAGAGGAAAGUGGAAUUCCAUGUGUAGCGGUGAAAUGCGCAGAGAUAUGGAGGAACACCAGUGGCGAAGGCGACUUUCUGGUCUGUAACUGACGCUGAUGUGCGAAAGCGUGGGGAUCAAACAGGAUUAGAUACCCUGGUAGUCCACGCCGUAAACGAUGAGUGCUA
rnacentral:rRNA from 1 species